GUGAGUGGAACUACUCACAAUGGAUACAAAGUUUGAAAUGUGCACCAGCCUGUACAGGACUCGGACCUGGCACUGCACAAGGGAAAAAAAUAUAGUCRAUAGUUCUUAAAUUUCUGCUGUUCMACACUAAAACAUCAGAGUCAUCACAUUUGRGAGAAACAUGCAUACAUUUGAGAAAGGACUGAGGGAUGUCUUUGAAAACAAGGGACAGCUGAGAUGUAUGCUUGGGAGACACUGUUUAAAUGCAACUAGAAUUGUUCCUYUUUUGUUGGAAGCUGAGCACAGCAUAAUGUGAUUUGUGAUUACAAUUCUUUGUGUCUGUGAAGCGACUGAAGAGACAGGCUAACUCUGAAACAUCACUGGACUUCUAAACUCACUGAAAAGGAACUGGGACAGGGAACGGAUGUUUCUGAUUGUCAGAUUAAAGCAUACUACUUUUCUAGUUGUAUUUGAAGCAGCAUGAAAUGUCACAGUUUCUUCAGUUUGUCCUAAAGAGCAAGAUCUUGCCAGUGAUUUUUAAAGAAACUUUUCUAUAGUUCCAUUAAUAAAAACACUUGCUCUUUUUUCCUUUGAUCUCAAUAACACAAAAGGGAAACAAGCAGGAAACACCAGCUUCCUAUACAGAUUGCAGUACAAAUCUUACCACACACCUGUUUCAUUGUUAGAGGGAUACARUUUUCCAAUUGUAAUAUCAAAUUUAUGAAAGGUUAGUACAAAACCCUUGCACUGACUUUACAACUUCUGGAGCUUUAGCUGGGGUGAAACCAGAGUAGAUGAUGCUGUCUGCAUGGCUUCUGUUCUCCAGCCCUAUCCUCCAACAAGCACCAAACCACUUGAAAUGGAGAAGCUGCUUUUCAUCCAGUAGCAUGUCUAGAAGCAAUUGCUUCACCAUGACAAGCCUCCUGAUGUUGCUCUUGCCCACSGUGUCCAAAAUAAGCUCUCCCACAGCAGCAGUCAAGCUGGUAAUCUGCAGGCCAGUCAUUGUGUCGAAGCUCAUUAAAGGUAUGUGUGUGGCUUGUGCAGGAGAAUGUGCUUCAUUCUGUKCUCACCCACCCCUAAGAUUGCUGCUGUUUCUUUUGUUGUGCCACUAUUGCCUCCUCACUAUUGCCACAGAUUGCCUUCAUUUCUGAACAAGGCUUGAAUUUUUACAGUAUGUUCCUGGGGGGCCCAUGUCCCCAGGGCAGUGCCUUGACUGGGAUCAGUUAAUGAUAACUAAAAGAAUCAGGACUUUCAGCUUCACUCUAGAAGCACUCUAUGAAUUCUUCCUUGACAGAAAGGAUAAUGUACCAUGAAUAAAUUAUGUCAUUUAUCUUUGGUGUUUCCAGCAUUUGGUCUUGAAUUUACGUGUUCCUAAAGAUGUCUUCUGAAGGGUGCCUUAAAUAAUGAAAGAACAGAUGUCUCAACAAAUUAAAUGCCAUAUUUUUAAGCAUUAGGUAAUGAAGUAUCUGAAAAUGUUUUUCUCUGUUGCAGAAAUCCUCUGUGCUUGUCUAAGAAAUAGCAUUUUGCAAUAGUUCUGUAAUCCUCUAGGGCUCCAAGUAAAAGGAAUAUUUUGAAGUGAUUUUAUACAAAAUUAUUUUCACAGCUAAAAAUAUGAUGAUAAAAAAGGGCACAUAAAAGAAGUCACAAAGCAACAGCGCUGAAGUGCUACAUGAGUCCUCUCAGUGUGAUAUGAAACCUUUGCUUGAACUUGUUCUUCUUACAAAGCUUUUCUCACUACCUGUGGCCUGGCAGGGAGCAUGAGGUGAGUCUCCAGCCAGCCAAGCUGACACGCUGAGGGCAGAUGUAGUCCCAUGACUGGAUCUAUUGAGCACUUCUCAAGCUCCCUGUGUGAUUGGGGCUGCAAGGUGCUCUGUGCCUCUGAAACCCUGAUGUGCUGAUACCACACCACAGCCAUGCCCCUGGCUGGUAGCUUGAUCAACUUGGGGUUUUGCCAUUUUUAAAUUGUUUUCUUAGUCAGAGGAACAGAUCUGAGAGAGGAUUUCAUUUUUUCAGACACUGMUGUGCUGGAGCUGACCCACUUUCCUGGUACUAGAGGGAGGUCCAAACUGGAAGCUGUGGCAGCCAGUAGGAGGAACUGAGGCCAGCUCAGCGACCAGAUGCGGGAGUGGCACAGAAGAUAAGGACCAUCAAAAYGGGCUAUCAACGGAACAUCACCCCUAGUGUGGUCAGAACACCUGGUCUAGGAAAAGAAAGAUAAGAAGGAGCACCUAAUUAGCAUCAGGGRCRAAGAAAUCCAGAUCCAGUAGGAACCCAAAUACUGAGACMUGCACARUGUUGGACCAAUGAACAUUAAACCAAUAGAGUUCUAUGGGUUUUGACUGUAUUAAGUUUGGGGAAAAUCCUGUAAAAUUUAUGUGUCCUAGAAUGAUUUUCUCCGCACACCCGGGCUAUGUGUGGAUGAAAUGAUUUCUGUGGCACUUCCUGGCCAGAACAACAUCCUGGCCAGUAAAUAAAGUAAUGCCUGAUUCUCUAUCACUCCAAA